rnacentral:sRNA from 1 species
GGUUUGGUGGCCUAGUUUUUUGGUUUUUUACCCACCUUUUUGUGGGCAAGCAAGUUUUUUUAUGCUUGUUUUUACUUAUGCGUCUACAGUAGGGGUCUGUCAUGUAUUUUGUGUACAUGUGUUACAUAAUAUUUCCAGUCCUUCAGCCCCUAUGUUGUGUUUUUUUUAACAAGAAGUCACGCAAUUGCUGUGCAGUGAAAUUUGUACCCACCGUCCACCCCUUAUACCUCCUUAGAUAGUUUAUAUUUAUAUUUGUUAUUUUAGGCCUAGUUUUUUUUUUUUUUUUUUCUACCCACCUUUUUGUGGGCAGGCAGUUUUUUUGGAUGUUUGUUUUUACUUAUGUGACCACAGUAGGGGGUCUGUCAUGUAUUUUUUGUAUAUGUUGAUAGACUAUGUAACAUGUUUUUGAAUGCCCCCUAUUUUGUAUAUACGGUAUCUUUUCGUCAUUUACUAAAUAAAUGACAGUUUUUUAUUCUUACACAUGUGUUCUUUUUUAUGCCUGCUUAAGCAAAAACAAGCUCAGUGUCCUUGGCUAGAACAUAAAAGCUAAGGAACAUAAAAAAUUUUAUGACGUUAAUUGUGGUUUACAUACGAAUAUCUCGUAUAUCACUUUAUUGUUAACUUAAGAAGUAUGCCACAAACGCAUUAUCAAUCCUGCUUUCUGUUUUGGUAAAUGUUUUAUUCUUUAUUAGAAUUUUUUUUAUAAUAAUGAUAUACUUUGAAAGCAUAUGAAAUAUAAAACGGUUGCUGUUUUAUAACAAGACUGUUUAUCUGAAUAUCAGAUGCAAAAGAAAAUAGGUCAAAAUCAAAAUAAUUUUGGUUUCAAGUAUUUUAAUGUUCAAUCCACACUAUGUUCAUCCAUCAUUUUCAAUUUUAACUAUGUCAAAGGGUAUGUGAUACGUUUUAUAUAAAAAAUAGAAAAAAAAAUUAAAAACAAUUACACCAGU